UCGGUGCACCUCAUGUAUGGACAUAGACUGGUUCAUUGAUAGUGCACUUUAUAAUUACAUUACAUUACAUUACAUUACAUUACAUUUGGCAGACGCUUUUGUCCAAAGCGACUUACAAUAGUCAAGUACAAUGUAAAAUAAGUUUAAAGGAAAAACAUCUUUGGAUAGGGAUAAAAGGAGGACAAAGGGGAAUAAUAGGAUAGAGGAGUGAAGGAGAGGAAGAAGGAAAUGAGGUUAGAAGUAGUUAGUGUGUUAGAGGUGUUAGGAGAGUAAGUGCUCUUUGAAGAGCUCUGUCUUCAGGAGUCUCUUAAAGAUAGCGAGAGAUUCUCCUGAUCUGGUAGUGGAGGGUAGUUUGCACCAAUCCGGUGCACUAAAUAAUACAGUGUGCUUUAUAAUCUGGUGCAGUUUAUAAUUUGGUGCACUUUAUGUAUGGAUAUAGACCCGUUCACUGAUAGUGAGCAUUAUAAUCCAGUGCCCCUAAUAAUAUACGGUGUAUUGAAAUUGACCCAGAAGAUGAGAAGGUUUAGAUUAUAAUAAUGGAGUCUAUUGUUCUGCUGUAUAAAGGAGGUGGGUGUUUCUGUGUGACUGAAGUUUCUGGUUCUACACAGCAGAUCUCUACUCUUUCAGGCUCUUUAGACAGCCCUUUAUGUUUCUUGGAGCUCAUGAACAAACCGCCAUCCACAAGCAUAACAUGCUACCGCUCUGCUGGCCUUCUGGCUUUGUUUGAACAAGUCCGCUGUGGUGUGAGGAGAGGCUGUGGAGUGCUGGACCUGACUGAGGCUGGAACAGCUGGGCCUGAGAACUCGACGUCAGACCCUGCCACAAUCUCUCCACACGCACACACUCUCUGAACCGCCUUCCAAAGGGCAUAAUAACUUUCACUGAGAGAAACUGCAGCAGCUUUUCUCACACUAACCGUCCCAAACCCUUCUGAGAUCCCCCUGCCUGAGAUCAGCACUGAGCCGCAGCCUGAUUUAACCAAAGACUGCCAUCUGCUGACUGCAGACAUGUAGCCAGGUGAAGAAUGCACUAAAAUGACUGUAUAUGAACAGAAACUUACAUCACUGCAGUAAAGCUGAGUAUAAAGAAAGUUUAUACUCACCAUCACUACCAAUCUGAUUCAAUAUCUGAACACUUAAAACUA